UUUCCUUCGGGACUGCUGCACAGGUGCUGCAUGGCUGUCGUCAGCUCGUGUCGUGAGAUGUUGCGUUAAGUCGCGCAACGAGCGCAACCCCUGUCCUUAGUUGCCAUCAGGUAAAGCUGGGCACUCUAGGGAGACAAACCCUCUUUGAGGGUGGGAAGGUGGGGAUGACGUCAAGUCAGGAUGGCCCUUACGGCCUGGGCUGCACACGUACUACAAUGCCCGGUACAGAGGGAAGCAAUACCGCGAGGUGGAGCAAAUCCUCAAAACCGGGCCCAGUUCAGAUUGUAGUCUGCAACUCGACUACAUGAAGUUGGAAUCGCUAGUAAUGGCGCAUCAGCUACGGCGCCGUGAAUACGUUCCCGGGCCUUGUACACACCGCCCGUCACGUCAUGAAAGCCGGUUUCGCCCGAAGUGCGUUUGCCAACCCGCAAGGGGGGCGGCGCCCUAAGGUGAGGCUGGUGAUUGGGACGAAGUCGUAACAAGGUAACCGUAGGGGAACC
rnacentral:rRNA from 1 species